UCUUUUUCCCAUCCACUGGUUUUGAUCUGCUUUUUCUCUUUUUUUCAUUUUCCCAUCUGUUUCUCUCCCUCUGUGUUUGCAGAGGUUAUUUGGCUGGUGCAAGGAAAGAGAGCUGUGGCAGUUGUGUGUGUACAGAUGAGGCAAAGAGAAGAAAGUCACUCAGGCGGUGAGCUUCACUCAUUUCUGGGAUAUACAACAGAAAGGCAACACAGAGGUGCAGAUACUGUGAAGGUGUCAGAAGGUACCAUGGUCACAAGAAGCUUCAGUACUGCGGGAUGCAGAGCUCUCACAGUGUGUGUAGCGCUUUUCCACUUCAAACUUCCUCUCAUUUUCUGUGGUCACUUCCUGGGUGUCCACAGUCAAGUGGAGGAACGGAACAGGAGAGAAACCAGGUCAUCUACUGCGCUAUGGAGAAAGUGCCGGAGGCCCAGCUGACUCACCCAACCAACAUUAUUGCAUUAUUAUUGCAUUUCUUUCAUUACUGCUAUCACCUGCUUUUUCAAUACCUCUGGCUUGGAGUCACAGUUCCCAAAGAGUUUUCCUCAUGGCCUUACGGAGAGUCACUUCUCACAAAUAUACCUGUUCUGUUACACACACAGAUGCUUUACUGUUUCUCUCGAUCCUCCCAAUCUUAACAGCCCCCUUUCUCUUUCUCUCAUCCAUCGUGUGAAGUUAUUUUUCAAAUCUUUAAAGAAAAGUAAUAAGAUUAGCCUUUGAAAAAACAUCACUUCAAUUCAAUAUUGUUGAGUUGCUGCAAGGGAUAAUUUGCUGGACCAAAAAUGUUUUGCUACAAAUAUUUAAGAAAUGUUUUACUCUAGGGUAAUAUUUUAGCCUAGUAGAUGGUUAUUUCCCAUUUAAUAGCCUGGUUUUACACAUGCAUUUGUGUUAUGGGAUGCAAUUAGGAUGGACAGAAUGUUGUUGUUCAGAAUUAUGUUUUGAGGUCAAAAGCACAGUAAACACCUCAGAUAUAUCACAUUGACCCCCAGUGUGUUUUUUGUUUUAGAGGGGUGCAUUAAUUUGUGCUGCCGAAAUUAUACUGCACUACAUGUAACACCCACAUGUUUAAAGUGAAGUAAUUAUAAUUUGUGGGUUGAGUAGAAUGGUCACAGAGUUUGUAAACAUUGAUGCAGAGCAUUUGUAUCCUAGUCAUAUUGCUCUUUCUGUCUCCAAGAAGGCAGCCGUGGGUGUUUGAUCUCAUUAAUGUGGUGAUUAAGUGUUCAUUGUCUCAUAUUUCUCUACUAGAAAAGAUUCUACUCUCUUUAUGUGCCUGUGAAUUGUAAAUGUAAUGGGACUAAAUGAUACUAUCACGUCCUGCAUGAGCCAUUACUGUUUCAGGGUAAAUGUGUUUCCCAGAAUUAGCAGUAGGUCGGCCCAUUGUGUUAUCACACGUAGUGAUCACGGGGAUGAAUGCUUCACUGAAAUGUUUCCUAUUCAAAUGGUUAAAAUACACAAUUAAAAGUGCAUAACUGCAACUUCAUGCAGUAAAACGUUC
rnacentral:lncRNA from 1 species